rnacentral:misc_RNA from 1 species
GGAAGUUAAAAGUCGUAACAAGGUUUCCGUAGGUGAACCUGCGGAAGGAUCAUUAAAGAGAAUAUGCCCUUCGGGGUAGAUCUCCCACCCUUUGUUUAUAUUACCUUUGUUGCUUUGGCAGGCCCGUCUUCGGACCACCGGCUUCGGCUGGUCAGUGCUUGCCAGAGGACCCAAAACUCUUAUUAUUAAUGUCGUCUGAGUACUAUAUAAUAGUUAAAACUUUCAACAACGGAUCUCUUGGUUCUG